UUGACAGUUUGCAUAAAUGAAAAUAAACACAAUAUCCCAUCCAAAAGUAAAAGUAUUUAUAAAAAAAAUAUCAACUAGAUUAUGGCUGGGAGAUGACAAUUUACUCAAAGUAGCUACCCUCAGCUUCUACUACAGCCUCAAGGUGGCUCUGGAACCUGGUACAUUUAUUCCUCACUGUGUUCCUAGGGAGAUCUUCAAAUACUGCCUUGAUCCCGGCCAUAAGCUCAACCUCAGUUUUAUAAGCAGAACAGUUGGUGUCUUUUUCAACAAUGCCCUACACAUAGUAAUCCAUGGGAUUACACUCAGGGGAAUUAGGAGGCUAGAAAUUGGGGCUGGUAGAGUUAUAGAAAUUCUCCAACAACCACUUGUUACUCUUUCCAGAGGUAUAGCAAGGAACUGAAUCCUGCUGCUACACAUAUGGUCUUCUAGCAGCAACCAUCUCCUGUCAGGGUUUGAUCACAGUCUCUAGUAGUUUCACUUUGUUGUUUGUUUGUUCCUUCUCGAGCCAUGCCUGGCUCAUAAGGGCCGGUUUCCUGGUUUCCUUGGCGUAUAGGUUCCCCACCUGGACAGGACGCCGGUCCGUCAUAGGUGAGCUGCAAGAUGCAGGAGGAAAGAGUGAGAGAAAGUUGUGGUGAAAGAGUCAGUAGAAGUUCUCCAUUACCUUCUGCCGGAGGUGCGUGGAGUUUAGGUGUUUCGCUCAUAAACACACACAUCGCCUGGUCCGAGAUCCGAACCCGCGAUCCCUCGAUCACGAGUCCGCUGCUCUAACAACUAGGCCAUGUGCCUCCACAGUUUCACUUAGCCAUCUGAAUUGAGCCUAAGAUUCUGUUGAAAGAUGUAGGGCACUAUGAUGUUACUCUCACUAGAGACACAUGCCUGCUGUGUCCCUUCUUGUUGGCCCCAUGGCUUUGUAGUCUCUGCUGCAGUUGUCUGUGUCAUGUCUUACAACCUUUACAGUAUUCACAGAGUAUUUGAGUCGCAGUCAAAAUGUUGACAUUUUGAUACCUGGUGUGAAUCAUCAUAAAAGAGGUAACUCUUUUCCAAUAUUCAGGUGGCUUCCAGUCCUCCAUGUCAACCAAUUUAUUUUCAACUACAACUUUAAUCUUUAUGCUCCCCAUCAUUUUUUACUAUUCGCCAAUACAUCAAGCUGUUCUUAAUAAAAGGAGACAAAAAUAAUCUCCAGAUUUAACCCAAAAACCCUGCAUAUAUAAAAUAGUCACUAAUGCCUACAAGUAAUAGAAUAAAAGAAAUAAUGGAAGCUGAAAAUGCACUGAGAAUGUAUAAGAAUGUUUAUUUAUAUUAAUAUUAAUACACUUAACCGGUUUCACAUUUGUGUGAUUUUCGAAAGUGUAAGCUUUGAUGGAUUACUUGCAGCCUAUACAGUUUGUGACCCGGCUCUGCAUACAAAUCAUGCAAAUAUGAAAAUGAUCAAGUGUGUUAAUCUUAAUAUAAAUCUGUAUACACAUUCUCAAAGCAUGUUCAAUGUCUUUUAUUUCCUUUAUACAUACAUACACACACACACACACAUAAACACAUAUAUACACACAAAUACACAUGCACGUGCAUGCAUACACACACAUUGACAAACGUACAUGUUUGUGAUGUGUAAUAUGUUUGUAGUCAAUCUUACUGUUUGUCUGGUCUUAUUUAUGUGUGUGUGUGUGUGUGCAUUUGCAUGUAUAUAUGUUUACAAGCAUCAAAAUAUUUAGAAUUGUUAAAAAAGAAGAAUUGUACAAACUUCUCUUUAGCUUAUUUGCCAGCUAAUGUGUAUUAUCCUAUUAUACUAUUCAUGCAGGUUUCUAUCUCAUCAGAUGACCUUCUCUCUGCAUUUUGUCUUGGUGAUCAAUAAUGGUAUUUUAACCUUUUAUUUAGUGAUUUAUUUAUUAGUCCUGCUCCCCCCAGAAAAAAUAAUUGUUUGUUUAUAAUAAUUAUGAUGAGUACAAAACAAAAGCAAAAGAAUAACAAUAGAUGGUUGGUGGAGUGACUAAAUGGGUCGUGCCAACCUAAAUGCCUUGAAGCAUUUAGUUCCUUACCUUCAUUGUCAGAAUUCAAUUCCUGCCAGAGUAGACUUUGCCUUUCAUUCCUGUUUUGGUGGGGGAUUAUUGAUAAUGUAAAUACCAGUAAUAUGUGCCAAUGUUAGAAAUCAAAUUAAAUUGAUAAUUGAUUAUUGGUUUAAUAAAAUACCAAAUAAAUAGAUAUUAUUAUUAUUCGUGAAUUUUGUUUGAUUUUUGGCUGACCACUAAGUUUAUGGGACUAAUAUUUUGUCUGAAAUUCAUCAGCCAUAAACUAAUUGUAAAGGCAAAGUCAAAUAUAUAAAACUUUGGUUAUGUCUGUCUCUUUACAGAAAUGUGUAUUAUAUGAAAGGCAUUAGCAAUUAUUAUUGAUAGAGUGUAUAAAUUGAUAACAUCCUGAAAAAGUAGAGGCAUACUUGGGAUAUUUUUUUGUACCCUAGACUAAUUUCAUAACCUGCACCAUUUCGUUUUUUAUCAUUGUUUAUAUAUAUAU
rnacentral:lncRNA from 1 species